AGAGUUUGAUCCUGGCUCAGAUUGAACGCUGGCGGCGUGCCUAACACAUGCAAGUCGAGCGGUAACAGGCCUUCGGGUGCUGACGAGCGGCGGACGGGUGAGUAGUACUUGGGAAUCUGCCUAUGAGUGGGGGAUAACUAGCCGAAAGGUUAGCUAAUACCGCAUAUGCACUACGGUGGAAAGCUGGGGACCUUCGGGCCUGGCGCUAAUAGAUGAGCCCAAGUCGGAUUAGCUAGUUGGUGGGGUAAAGGCCUACCAAGGCGACGAUCCGUAGCUGGUUUGAGAGAACGACCAGCCACACCGGAACUGAGACACGGUCCGGACUCCUACGGGAGGCAGCAGUGGGGAAUAUUGGACAAUGGGCGAAAGCCUGAUCCAGCGACGCCGCGUGGGUGAAGAAGGCCUGCGGGUUGUAAAGCCCUUUCGGUUGGGAAGAACGGUAUUGACCUAAUAAGUCGGUAUCUUGACGUAACCAACAAAAGAAGCACCGGCUAACUCUGUGCCAGCAGCCGCGGUAAUACAGAGGGUGCAAGCGUUAAUCGGAAUUACUGGGCGUAAAGCGCACGUAGGCGGCUUGACAAGUCGAGUGUGAAAUCCCUGGGCUUAACCUGGGAACUGCAUUCGAAACUGUUUAGCUAGAGUAUGAGAGAGGGCAGUGGAAUUUCAGGUAGCGGUGAAAUGCGUAGAUAUCUGAAGGAACAUCAGUGGCGAAACGACUGCCUGGACCAAUACUGACGCUCAGGUGCGAAAGCGUGGGGAGCAAACAGGAUUAGAUACCCUAGUAGUCC
rnacentral:rRNA from 1 species